AUAUAGUCAUUUUAUGAACUUUGCGAUUUUUUUCAAAAAAAUUUGUGGCGCGCUAGGCUGUUACCAUUACCGUUACAUUACGGCCAUUACAUGCUUGUUUUCAUUACCCGCAACCACAACCGUGAUUUGAAGCCAUAGUUUGAAACUAAUCCUAGUUAGUCAUUCAUUUUAUUUCUUAAUGAAUUCCUUUUAGAAUUCAUUUGCAAAUGAAUUUUCUUGUUUGAAAUGCCAUAAGGUAAUGUGAAAAACUCACAAAUACAAAGAAGAAUUGAAAAUUGCUUUGUUCUUGAAAUGCCUUUUGGGAGUGAUAGGGAGAGUAUAUGUUACCUAUGAAAAAGGCAAAAGGUGGAAAAUAAGGGCAUUGUUUUCCAUAAAAUUUGGUGCUUUAUUUUUGCGGAAUUCAUUCGAAAUUUCUUCUAUUUUGAUGGAAUUUGCUUUUAGAUAUGUAGUUUUAUGAAAUUGAAAUGGUAGAAUUCAAAUGAAUAAAUUUAAUGGUUCCAAACAUAAAACUAUGGUAUUGCAAAUAACUUCCUCAAAACCAUGUGUAGGUUUAUCUGUUCCAAGCAUAGUGUAACUCAUAAUCUUAAAUUGGUUUGCCGGUAUGGAGACCAUAGAUGUUAUGGAUAACGAUUAGGAAACAAGAACCAAUUUAGAUGUCUUUAGAUUUUAGCUUAAGUGGUAAAAAAAGGGAUUUCAGUGAUGUUGGUGUAAGGUGUGAAUCUUACAAGAAACAGGUAAAAAGAAGCAAAACACUUGAUAAUGCAGUUUUUGUAGUAUUUCAAACUGAUAAAUCAUGAUGAUUUCGAAUUCAAAAGAAUUCAAAAUCCUUUUGUGAACUCAAACUUUUUAAGUUCAGGAUGAAUAUAACAAUACUGUGCUGAAUUCAGCUUAGUUGGUGCAUAGGCCAUUGAAAUUUCUUGAUCUCUCAUUUUUGUUAAUAAAAAUAGCAUGUAGUACCUUGAAUUCUUCUUUGAACAGCAAGACCAUUUAGUUUAGGUUCGGCAUAGCUUAUCAAUGGCGUAAAAAGGAACAAGAAAAAAGAGACAAAAAAAGAACAAGCUGGCACUAGAAAAAGAGGAAGGAAAAGGUGUAGUGAUCAUGGAUGGAAAGUGAAGAGUGGAAAGAGAUGUGAAAGCUCUUGUUCAAAAAUUCAACUGGUAUGUUGAUCUGAAUCUGACUAGUUUGCAUUAAGGCUUAAUUGAGUUGAGCAUGUUGAUUUACCGGAAAAAUAAGAAUAUGCAGCUUUUUUAGGCUAGGCUAGUAGUGUUAGUCUGACUGGCAAACGUUAGCAUGUGUUCCCACAAAAGUGUUUAUAACUUUGUGUUAGUCAGACUGGCAAACAUUAGCAUUUGUUCCCACAAAAAUAAGGAUGACUUCACGUGAUUUUGCUUCCCUGGCAUGUUGGUAUAUGAGAUGUCAGUGUUAUGAUUUUUCUACGGAUUUGGAUUAGAAUGAUAAGUCUACCAAAGAGCUUCCAACUUUCCAUUUUGAUACCCUUUGAGAUAAUUGCUUAGUCCUUAACAUAUGAUCAAUAGGAUGUUUGUUGAUAGUUAUGUUUUGGGAACAUUAUGGUGAAAGUAUGGAACCGAUUUGAAAAUGAUAAGAAUUUCUCUUUCCAUUUCUUUUUAAAAAAUUCUCUUCAAACCAGCAUUUUGUCCAAAUGAUCUGUAACAUCUAGAAAUUUAACUUGCAAAAUAAUUGCAAAGAUUCAAUUUGCAUCUAGUUGUUUUUUGUCAUUUACCGUAACAAAAGUUAAGUAAUAUAAUAUAUCAUGAAAUGUUGUGUUUGACGUGUACAUUCACACAAUAUGCUUGUAUGAAAAAAAGGUUAGUGAUGAUUUUACCACUUACAGAAACUAUACUGUUUGUUAUAAUGACUUCUUCACUGUGUUAUAUAACUGAAUUGGUUUAAUCAAGUUUACUGAGAAUACUCUUUAAUUGAAUGAAUUUUGUUUUAAAAUUAGUGGGUUUUCUUUAUAUUGAAUUUUGAAAGUGCAUUUUCUGAUUGUUAAAUUUGUGUAGUAUAGAGAUUUAUGUCUUGGUACAAAUUUUUAAGCUUGAUGGAAUGGAACUCUCUCUCGCUCUCUCUCCUUUUCUUUAAAAAUGCUUGGUUAAAUGUAUUCUAACUCUUUUCGACUUUUUAUUGCAGAUCUCAAGGUGAGCUGUUGUAUUUCAUUUUACUCGGUCAGACUUUAUUAGCAUGCCAUGGUGAACAGGAGUUUGUGACUUGAUGUCCCAAUACUGGUUUCAAAAUAAUUUACAUUUUUUUUUAUAUAGCUCCAGUUUACCUGUCUGGCAACUUAACUUCUUUACAAUAGUAUAUUGAUAUUAUACUUUCUAAUAUUGUUAUGAUAAUUUGUUUGGAUAUAUGCUAGAAUCAAAGUAAUUUUUUCAGCAAAGGUUUGGGGGCAUUUGCAAUUAGGAGGUGGACAUUUGAUCAAAUUUUCUUGUUUCUUAAUUUCUUGAAUAUGCUUGAUUUAGGUUUCACCUUCUUUUUAUGUGUGUGUUCCUUUUCUUCUUAACCUUUUUCUUGUAUGAUUUCCCUAAGCUGUUUGAUAAUUUUCUCUUUUGGUUUUAAAAAACCUUAUUUCAGAAUCAUCAUAAUGGCUUAGAAGGAUUAGACAUGUACACAUACCAAAUUUUUUUUUUAUUCAAAAGAAAUCCUUGUUUGCCAGUGCUUGGAUUCUUUGUGUUGAAACACAUGUUCUUUACUGUUUUGAACUAUUCUUAGUGUUGUGAAUAAUUAAAUAUUAAUCAUUUGGCACUUGAUGUUGGAUAGGGAGAAAAAGAAAAAUUGUGAUGACAUCAGAGUUUUUUUAGUUAUUUAGUUUCCUUUGAGUGUUAAAUUCAAAAGCUGCUGUUGCUUCAGGAAAAUCAGAGGUAUCCUCUGU
rnacentral:misc_RNA from 1 species